GGGCAUAUGGUGUAGUGGUAUCACGCCUCAUUUGCAGUCAUGUGGGAAACUGCAUAAUGCGACUUGAGGCGGCCCAGGGUUCGAUCCCCUGUGUGUCCA